ensembl:lncRNA
UGUCAUUUUAGUCCUGCCUGUCACUCACUGGUGAUAUUGGUCCUUUAAUGUCAUAUGUACACACUUAGUAUUUUAUUGCCUCAGAAACCUUUUUAUAUCAAAAUUACCACCCUGAUUUUGGCGUAAUUUUGCAUUUUAUCUGCCAGAAACAGAAGUUAUGUAGCCCUCCCAAGCAAAAAAAAAAAAAAAAAAAAAAAAAAAACAACAAAAAACAAGGCUAACCAUAACAGCUAAUACACCAAGGAUAAGUAAGGCAACAUUUUCUGGGUAAGAACCAAGAUACUGAGAUCUUCAUGCUUUUGAAAAAUUCUUUCAGUCAACAAAAUACCUGUGACCUCCUUAUUACACUGGGCACAUCCUUCUGCUCAAGGAGCAGCUAAGUUUCAGUAGGAAUAUGAGUAGAUUAAGCAGCUAAACUGUAAGGGAGCUGGUGUGUUACUUACAGGCACUUGGAUCAACUGAGUGGGUGCAAAUUGAUGCAACUCAGCACUUAAUUAUGUGACUUUAAAAAAAAUUGAGGUUUUGUGGGUUUUUUUUCAGGAAUUUCUAGUAUCUCAGCAAAUAAGGAAAAAAGUCAGAAACCCAACUCACUUCAGUGCACUGGUUCCUGUCCAUUCUAGCUGAGCACUGGGGGGAGGGAGACACACAAGGAACCAAAAAGACCAUUCAAAAAUAACACUAAACUUGAAACAACCUCCCCCCAACCCAAAACACACACAAAAAAGCACCAGCAACUGAGCAGGUGUGAGGGCUACAGAAUCGGGGAAGAACAUUUGAACAUUUCUAAAAUUCAUCAGAUUAAUAAUCUAGAAUUCAUCAUAUUUAAAUAUUUGAAUAUUUAAACUAUUAAAAAUUUUCAUUAGCAGGACAUAAGACACAUGCUAAGCUACAUGUGAAUUGUUUUAAGUUUUGGGUAACUUACAGUACCAAAUAAAAAUGGCUUUGCUUAAAACAUGCCCCAAGAAAGAGCAGUUUAUUUAUAAAGCAAUAUUUCUGACUACAACUCAGCAAUAUCUUUCCAGCCUUUCUCAGCAAUAACCUUUCCAGCAAUGUGGGUUUUUUUUUUCCCUUCUUGAUUUCCAUCGACCAGAACCCAGCUCACAGAGCACCUCACCAAACCACAGCUGUCAUUAAAAGCAAGGCUUGCUCUUCCCUAGCCUGUCACAGAGUGCCUGAUCAUUGCCACCAGCUGUUGACAGACUCCUGCUAACUCAGCCCAUGGAAAAGCAGUCUGCUCUUCUAAACCCGGGUAAAAUCCAGCCUUUUGCUUAAAGGGUUUUUUUCUGGGACAGGAGGUCAUGUGGGUUUAACAAUCCCAUUUGCCUGGAGCAGACAAACCCCAUCACCUUGUAAUUCUUGACUUUACCAUGGGCAAUAGAGGCGUUACCCAAGCUGUACAGAUGAGCUGGAGUUUGUGUCUAGCUGGAGGUUUAAACUCUCACAGUCUUCCAAAAUUUCCUGAGUAGUUCAUCAGCAGCUUCACAAAAUGCUCCCAGUGAAGUCAUUUUGCUGCAUUUGCUGUUUCCCAGAGAUGGGAACCAAGCUGACACCAGGCUCUGCCCCAAACUGCCCUUGCCUCUGCUGGGGUGGGCUCAAACCCAGGGCUUGGGGUGCCCCUCCCUGCAGGGGGAUUGGAAUCAGUCUGGGUCAAGCAGUGCAGAGAGAGACUGGUGUCCUGUCCCCACAGGAGAAGGAAAAACUCUUGGGCUGCUCUUGCAGCCACUCAGCAUUUUAGACAAAGAUAAAUGAACAGCAUUUCCAAGCAUGCUCUGUUUAAAAAUAAAAAAAA